GGGAUUGACUUGUUCUACCUGGGCUCACUCCUAACGUUCAUCGUCGAAAGCUUCCAUAGGCUACUGUUUAAUCUCCAGAUCAUACUGGAAAGCAUUUUUCUGUCCCUCCCAAGUAAACGCCCUCAAGAACAACCCCCUUACCAGCACUACAAAUCAGAGGAGGCUGAACGGUCGUUAGGGAAAUGGUUUACUGGGGCAAGGGACAGGGGAGGGCUGAGGGCAGCCAGAGUGGCGAAGUGAUUUAAUUCAAUUCAAUUUAGGUAUUGCUGUUUGUAACCAGUUCUUCUUGUUGUUCUCUGUGUUGAUGUUGAUGUUCUCUGUGUUGUAAUUUAUUAAAUGAUUAUUAUUAAAUGCAGAAAAAGAAAAUUAGGCUGCUUUUUCUGCUGUUUGGUGGGACCUUAGAGCCAUAGCCCCCUGGAAGUGACUAAUAUUAUUUUCUAGUGAAUUACAAAUGGGUCUGGUUUUGGAUUGGUAUUUAUAGUGUAUGUUGUAAACAUUGGGAUUUUAAUUAUAUUUUAUUGUAAAUGUUGGAGCCAUAUGACAUUGAAGAUAGGACCAAGAUCAUGUAUACAUUGCCCAGCUUUGCCCUACUUAAUGACUAUAAUCUUGCAUGCAACCCAUUUGGCCAAUGUGUAGAACCUAGACAGAAUAUUAAGGUGGGGCACGGAUGGGUCUGGCAUUUAUUGCCCAGUUUGGAGCCACAUAAAACCCAUUGUAAUCCUGCCUGAAGCCAUGUGGACAAAUGGCAUGGGGCCACUAUAGAACCUGCGAUUCAUCCCUCCUAUACCCCAUUAUUUAAAUCAUGUAGUACCCAUGUAGAACCCAGGUAGAAUUUAAGGCUGGGGCCCCAGAUGGGUCCAUUGUUUGUUGCACAUUUGGUACCCACAUAAAACCCAGUGUAAUCCUGCAUGGAACCCAUGUGGGUAAAUUACAUGGGGCCACUUUGAAACCCAUGGACAGUCCCACAAAAUAACCCAUAUUUCAACCCAUAUGGUACCCAUGUAGAACCCAGGUAGAAUUUAAAGCUGGGCUCCAGAAGGGUCCAGCGUAUGUUGCCCAGUUGGGACCCAAAUAAAACCCAGUGUAAUCCUGCAUGGAGCCCAUGUGGGCAAAUGACAUGGGGCCACUUUGGAAACCGCGGACAAUCCCACAAAAAAACCCAUAUUUCAACCCAUGAGGUACCCAUGUUGGACCCAGGUAGAAUUUAAGGCUGGGUUCCAGAAGGGUCCAGUGUAUGUUGCCCAGUUGGGACCCAAAUAAAACCCAGUGUAAUCCUGCAUGGAGCCCAUGUGGGUAAAUUACAUGGGGCCACUUUGAAACCCAUGGACAGUCCCACAAAAUAACCCAUAUUUCAACCCAUAUGGUACCCAUGUAGAACCCAGGUAGAAUUUAAAGCUGGGCUCCAGAAGGGUCCAGCGUAUGUUGCCCAGUUGGGACCCAAAUAAAACCCAGUGUAAUCCUGCAUGGAGCCCAUGUGGGCAAAUUACAUGGGGCCACUAAGGAACCCGUGGACAAUCCCACAAAAAAACCCAUAUUUCAACCCAUGAGGUACCCAUGUAGAACCCAGGUAGAAUUUAAAGCUGGGCUCCAGAAGGGUCCAGCGUAUGUUGCCCAGUUGGGACCCAAAUAAAACCCAGUGUAAUCCUGCAUGAAGCCCAUGUGGGCAAAUUACAUGGGGCCACUAAGGAACCCGUGGACAAUCCCACAAAAAAACCCAUAUUUCAACCCAUGAGGUACCCAUGUAGGACCCAGGUAUAAUUCAAGGCUGAGUUCCAGAAGGGUCCAGCGUAUGUUGCCCAGUUGGGACCCAAAUAAAACCCAGUGUAAUCCUGCAUGGAGCCCAUGUGGGCAAAUGACAUGGGGCCACUUUGGAAACCGCGGACAAUCCCACAAAAAAAACCCAUAUUUCAACCCAUGAGGUACCCAUGUAGGACCCAGGUAGAAUUUAAGGCUGGGUUCCAGAAGGGUCCAGUGUAUGUUGCCCAGUUGGGACCCAAAUAAAACCCAGUGUAAUCCUGCAUUGAGCCCAUGUGGGCAAAUGACAUGGGGCCACUUUGGAAACCGCGGACAAUCCCACAAAAAAACCCGUAUUUCAACCCAUGAGGUACCCAUGUAGGACCCAGGUAGAAUUUAAGGCUGGGUUCCAGAAGGGUCCAGUGUAUGUUGCCCAGUUGGGACCCAAAUAAAACCCAGUGUAAUCCUGCAUGGAGCCCAUGUGGGCAAAUGACAUGGGGCCACUUUGGAAACCGCGGACAAUCCCACAAAAAAACCCAUAUUUCAACCCAUGAGGUACCCAUGUUGGACCCAGGUAGAAUUUAAGGCUGGGUUCCAGAAGGGUCCAGUGUAUGUUGCCCAGUUGGGACCCAAAUAAAACCCAGUGUAAUCCUGCAUGGA